rnacentral:lncRNA from 1 species
GUUUUUUGAGGGUAUGAGGAUGCACAGCUGGAACAGAUGGUUAAUAGCACAACAAGAAAGCAGCUGAUUUACAGGCUCCUAGAGAAGGAAAACAGAAGAUCGGUGGCAGGACUUACCUUGAGAGCUGGUGUGAGGUUGCCGUGGGCUCUUCCAGGAACAAGGAAAUCGGCGAUGACCCUUCAGCUCUGCUCGAUAAGCAAGCGAUGAGGAGGAAUGUAGAGGAAGAGAGAGCGUGCCCAGACGCUCUGCUCUGAUCCAGCCCCUUUGCUAGAAGUCUCCGGCGGUUUCCUUCUGGCGGGCAGCCCCUGACCCCGGCGGGACCCCCCGUCUGCGGGAGCUGCCGGUCCCAGCUGAGAUGCUGGGGCUGGACGGGUUGUUGAGACCAGCCUCUUCCUCGCCGGUGAGUAGGAGGGUGCGGAGGGCGGCAGGCG